UACGUAGGGGGCGAGCGUUGUCCGGAUUUAUUGGGCGUAAAGGGCGUGUAGGCGGCCUUUUAAGUCAGGGGUGAAACCCCGGGGCUCAACCCCGGGCCUGCCUCUGAAACUGGGAGGCUUGAGUGCUCUAGAGGAUAGUGGAAUUGCCGGUGUAGCAGUGAAAUGCGUAGAGAUCGGCAGGAACACCAGUGGCGAAGGCGACUGUCUGGGGAGCAACUGACGCUGAGGCGCGAAAGCUGGGGGAGCAAACGGGAUUAGAAACCCCCGUAGUCC
rnacentral:rRNA from 1 species